CGCGGCGCAGGCCCACUGGGGGCCCGGGCUCUCCGGGGCCCGCCUGCGGCGCUCGGCGGGUGCUGCCCGCAUCCCUCCGAGGCCGCGGGCGCCAGGGAUGCGCAGGGCCGCGCCUCCUCCACACUCGAGGGAUGAGCCGCUUUGAAACCGCAGCAGAGAAGCACUCUUAAGAGUGUGAUGAGGAAGCCCCAGAAUGAAGGCUUCCCACACCCAGAAAAGUCUGAAACCACGCGCUCCAAGGCACUCUGCCUUCCUCUCUCUCGGGCUGCCUCCCUGAUGCCGCCACAGCCCACUGACAGAACGGGCAACAAAAACCUUCCCUUCCUCCUCCUGCAGCAGAACCGAUUAAACAGGAGAAAAGGUGGAAAGAUUCACACCGAACUGUCGUCACUGCGAAGGAUGGGAGGGAGAGGAGUUAGAAUGACACUCCCACUGACACUCCGUUCUGCUGUAGUUGAAGUGAGCAGAAAAUGGGGUCAAGGAGGAUGUGUCUUCACAGAGGAAAACACGCCUUAUAGUCUCAAAAUUAGAAGGGACCUUGGAUGUCGUCGGGAACAAUCCCCCGGCACCAUCACUUCCGUGUCGGGGGUCGCCUGCCCGCUUGGAGCACUUAGAGCAAUGGGGACCUUUCCGCACCGGCUGCUUUGUGGGCAGCCCGCUCUGGUCUGUAGUGUGUCACAGGGUGGAGCUCUGCCUCUGGGUGAAUCCCACUCAUUCGCCCUAGUUUUGCUCUUGGGGGCAACACAGAAGAACUCUGUGCUGUCUUCCAUGGACAGCUCACGGAGACGUUGUCUCACGGAGGCGUGUGCCCUCUUGCAUCUUUUUUCCAGGCUAAUUGUUGGGUGUCCUCUUGACACUGAGCUGUGCCAGUGUCUCCGAUCUCUGUCCUGGUUGGGCACGCCCUGGAUUGUAGUGUCUCUGACUGUAGUGCAGACCUGGAGCUGAAUCCGCAAGCGGCCGGACAAGCUCGCAGAGCAGUGGUCGGCGUGUUCUAACUCUGUUAACAUCGCCUAAAGUUGCUUUAGGAUGUUGGCCGCGACAGCAUCCCAUGGGGUUCUGCACCGAGGCUGAGCUUGUGCGUGAGAUGAACUGAAACCCCAGACGUGGUUCACGCAGACUGUCACUUUCCCCUCCCUCUCGUGUGCUUUAUUUGGAAGAUAGGAAAUCAGAGCGUCACCUUUGUUUUGGUAUGUAGACCAGCUUUUUAUGAUUGAAAGAUUAGUUUAUUGCUUUUUUAAAAAAUGUUCAUUUUCAGGUGGUAAAAGUACAAAGGGGAAAGUGAAAAUCACCCCAAAUUCUUCUCUCUAGGAGUGAGCGCCUUCUAAAAAAGUAUGCAAAUUUGUUUGUAAUAGUAUCAAAGAGGACAGUUAUUUAUCAGUCAGUUUACAGUUGCAAUGGCAAUUAUGUUUAGUCAUUUUUAAGUGUAGAAAGAGGUCUGUGACAUAACACAUAAAAAAGAAAAUUGCCAAACUGUAUGAUCCCUCUUUUGUUAAUUACAGAAAGAAACUCCAUGCA